UUGUAGCCCUGAUGUGAGUGGAAAGCCUUUUGAAGCGGAAUUGGCUAUUUUUCCUGAGAAAAAGUUUGUAGCACAGAGCAGGAUUAGCU
rnacentral:sRNA from 1 species